rnacentral:rRNA from 1 species
AUACGUAGGGGACGAGCGUUGUCCGGAAUUACUGGGCGUAAAGGGCGCGCAGGCGGAUAUUUAAGUCAGCUGUAAAAGGCAUGAGCUCAUCUCAUGUAUGCGGUUGAAACUGGGUAUCUAGAGUGCUGGAGAGGUAGGCGGAAUUCCCGGUGUAGCGGGGAAAUGCGUAGAUAUCGGGAAGAACACCAGUGGCGAAGGCGGCUUACUGGCCAGCAACUGACGCUGAGGCGCGAAAGCCAGGGGAGCGAACGGGAUUAGAUACCCCGGUAGUCCUGGCCGUAAACGAUGAAUGCUAGGUGUGGGUGUCGAGAGGCAUCCGUGCCGGAGUUAACGCGAUAAGCAUUCCGCCUGGGGAGUACGAUCGCAAGAUUGAAACUCAAAUGAAUUGGCGGGG